UCGCUGUGAUGAUUGAUUCCUAGACAUUCGUAGUUUCCACCGAAAGCUUGGCUAAUGAUGGGCCCAAACUUCCUUGGAUGUCUGAGCGA